GAAGGGGGCUAGCGUUGCUCGGAAUCACUGGGGCGGUAAAGGGGCGCGUAGGCGGCUGAUUUAGUCGAGGGUGAAAGCCUGUGGCUCAACCACAGAAUUGCCUUCGAUACUGGUUGGCUUGAGACCGGAAGAGGACAGCGGAACUGCGAGUGUAGAGGUGAAAUUCGUAGAUAUUCGCAAGAACACCAGUGGCGAAGGCGGCUGUCUGGUCCGGUUCUGACGCUGAGGCGCGAAAGCGUGGGGAGCAAACAGGAUUAGAUACCCUGGUAGUCCACGCUGUAAACGAUGAAUGCUAGCCGUUGGUCUGCAUGCAGGUCAGUGGCGCCGCUAACGCAUUAAGCAUUCCGCCUGGGGAGUACGGUCGCAAGAUUA
rnacentral:rRNA from 1 species